rnacentral:rRNA from 1 species
UACAGAGGGUGCAAGCGUUGCUCGGAAUUAUUAGGCGUAAAGGGUAGGUAGGUGGUCUCAUUUGUCGGGGGUGAAAUCCUUGGGCUUAACCCAAGAAGUGCCUUCGAAACGGUGAGACUAGAGUCCUGGAGAGGGUCGUGGAAUUCCCGGUGUAGCGGUGAAAUGCGUAGAGAUCGGGAGGAACACCAGAGGCGAAGGCGGCGACCUGGACAGGUACUGACACUCAACUACGAAAGCGUGGGGAGCAAACAGG